UUCCUAAUUUGGCUGCCCAAAGUUUGCAACCCGCUGGGCCACCCCAGAGCUGUGGGACGCCAGCCGCCGCGUUCUCAGUGCCCAGGUCUUGGGAAGAGGAGGAGGAGGAGGAGGAGGAAGAAAUCUUUGAUGCUGGGCCAGAAACCUCUGCCUCAGACUCCACUAUUCAAGCUUCCCCUUUAGCUUCAGGUUGGACUCACAGACACAGAACCCACAGAUACAGGGAGCCAGCUGUAUGUUAGCUGUUGUCUUUCAACCGAAACAUGCAGAAGACAAAGUACUAGUCGAUGGGCUGAGAAAGCAGUUGUGACCAGCACCUGAAGGAACCUGACCCUGUGUUUCCCCUCGGAGCAGAGGUCGGUAUUCACUGAUUCACUGUUUGCUGGGGCUUUAAAGGACAGGACUACCGUGGAUGACGAGAACUGACGCUAUGUGGAUUGACUUAUGCGUCGUCUUCUCUUGCUAUGAGUGUGAGGAUGUUGCUGUGUUCUGCUUCCGACCCAAGCCAGGCAUGCAGUAAGUGCUCAAUAAAUGUUUUUGUUUUAUUUUGGGAGGACUGAGGACUGAACCCAAGGACACUGAGCUACAUCCCAUCCUUUUUGUUUUUUAUUCUGAGACAAGGUCUCACUACAUUGCUGAGGGUCUCACUAAGAUGCUGAGGCUCACCUCAAACUUACGAUCCUCCUGCCUUAGGCUUCCAAGUCACUGGGAUUACAUGUGUGCAUCACCACACCCAGCUCCAAUAGUUUUUUUUUUUAAUAUUUAUUCUUUAGUUGGACACAAUAUCUUUAUUUUAUUUAUUUAUUUUUAUGUGGUGCUGAGGAUUGGACCCAGGGCCUCGCACAUGCUAGGUGGGCGCUCUGCUGCUGAGCCAUAAUCCGAGCCCCCAAUCAUUCUUUUAAUCAAUCAAUGAAGUCAUAUAGAAUUAAUAAAAAGUUUAUAUAAAACGAUCCAGUCCAGAACUGCUAGGCUGGUGGCUACUAAGGAUCAGAGCCGCGCUGGGUUGGUUUGCAGAAGCUACACUGAGUACCUGGAAAGGCAUCGAAGCCCAUUGGGAUGGGCCAGGUUGCCUCUGGGUCUCCCUAGAACCUGUGCCUGGUGGACCUAGAGACUCCCUAAUGCUGAGGGGCUCCAGUGGACACCCCAAAGGAUCAACCUGGUGAGUUUUGCAUGGGAGCACCCACACCUCUGGGCCCCAGUCUGAAGCCACAGAUCCAUCUUUCCCUCUCCCAGGAAGCCUUCCCUGGAACCAAGGGUCUCCUCUGGGCUCCCAGGGUCCCGACAGGCACAUGAGUCCAGGGACUGUGGGCCCUGUGCCCCCCACCAAGCUGAGUUCUUGAGGCAGAGCCCGACAGCUGUGGUUUCCUGCUGUGAUCUCGGCUUCCUCCUGGUACAGUUGUCAAAUGACCAUAAGAGUCAUUCUAACGAUGGCUGCUGCACCAGGCGCCUCGCUAGACCUCUUGUAAGUUACCCAUUUCAUCUAAUUCCUACCCACCACCCAACGGUGCUGGGGUUUGAAUGUGUUCCCCAAAACUCACGGGUUAGGAACUUAGUGUUGGGAGGCCAGCCUACUGGGGGAGACGUUUAAUUCAGGAGGAUGGAGCUCUUGGGAGGGGACUCCUGUGACCAUGGAAAGGCAUGGAGGAGCAGGCGAGUUCUCAUCCCUGUCUGCUGCCCCCACCCCACCAGCCUUCUGCCAGGUGAGGACAUAACAAUCCUCCCUCUAGAGGAUGUGCCAGUCAAGAACCUGUCUGGAAGCGGCAACCCACCUGCAGGUGCCUGGCCUCGACCUGCAAGAGCCCAACCUCAGAGCCAUGAGGGGAUGAAUCUGUGCUCUUCCUAAAUUAAAACAAAAAACAGCACAAAAGUCGUCUAAGGUGAAUGCGAACAGUUAUUCCCAUCUCUCAGUUAAAGAACGAAGUUCAGAGAGGAUGAUUCACGCUCAGAGUUGCACAGCUUAGGACAAGCCCCUCCCUCCAGCCUCUGCUGCCUGGGUUCUAAGAGGGAGGUGCCUUGACAAGAAGCUCCCAGCCUGGUCUCAGAUCCUGUGACUGAAAAGGGAAGUUCACGAGAGGAGUCAAGGUGGGUUUUUAAACACCCCCCUCUGCCUGGUGGAGCACCUCUGCAGUCCCAGGUAUUUGGGAGGCCGAGGCAGAAGGAUUGCAAGUCCCAGGAUGGCUUCGGCAACUUAGUGAGAGCCUGUGUCAAAAUAAAAAUUAAAAAGAGCUGCAGAUAGACCUCAGAGGUAGAGUGCUGGCCUGGCAUGCUGUGAGGCCCCAGGGUGGGUCCCCAGUACAAAACAAAAGUGGGGAGAAAAAGAAAUAUCCAAUUCUCUCUCCAUGCCUGAGCUUCGGGACGCAGGCCUGGGGAGCCUUCCUCAGUGAGCGCCAAGUCCCCACGUAGAUAUCACAGAACAUCUUCUCCUCCAGCCUGGAUAAGCAGGGCUGACUUUAUGCCGCGUCAGGAAUGACCUUGCUGUCUAAGCCAGACCGCCCCGAAUGCACCAGAUCUCUGGGCUACAACACCUCCCCUCGCAGAGCUGAGAUGCUGCAGGGAGACACAGGAUCCACAAAACCAAGGGUUCCACAGAGUACGUCAGGAUUCCCAGAAAAAAAGAUUCAUUGACGAAGCGUAGUAGGGCCUUUCCAACACCUGACGGCACAAGCCAAGCCCCACUCCAUCCAGACAGGAGGAGAGAGACCCCAAGGGAACUCUGCAGCUGUGGCAGAAAGGAGAGGGGACAAAUAAAAAGAGGCAGAGGCUGUGUGUGUGUGUCUUUUGGUUUUGUACUUGGGAUUAAACCCAGGGUGCUCUACCACUGAGCCACAUCCUCAGCCCUUUUCAGCCUUUUUUAUGUUGAGACAGGGUCCCAGGCUGGCCUUGAACUUUCGAUUCUCCUGACUUAGCCUCCCAAAUCACUGGGAUUUCAGGACUGCACCGCUGCACCCAAAGUCCGAGUUUUGCAGAUUAAUUAUAAGAUUUCUUAGCUGGUAAGUGGCACAGCCUGGAAGUGCCUGGCUCAAAGCAGUCCUGAAAUUCCCACUGUGGUCUGGAGGCCGUCCAUCGCCACACACGGGACAGGUGGCUGGACCAGCCACUGGGCUAAGAGAGAAGGCCUUGAGCGUCAAGGGCAAACAGAACACAAGGGCAGCCACCUUCUGACGGAGCAACAGGGAUCUGGAAGGUGGCCCAGGGCUGAUCCAGAAGGCUCACGGGUGAUGGAGGUACGUCCAGCAGAGGCCAGGGACAGCGGACUGGCUCCUCAGGUGGAGCUCAAGAGGCUCUCCGCAGGGAGCCCUGGGAGCAAGGACCAGAUGCCUCUCUGGUCUGGGGCUGGAGUCCAGAGAGGCUGGGGUAAGGACAGGGGUGCGGGAGCUCCAGGAAUCUGAUACUUAUGGAGUACCUGCUGUAUCCAUGAGCUCUACAUGUUAUUCCAUGUUCAAGGGGAAGUGAAGGGGGAGAGAGUGCGCUGCGGGGUCCUGGCACCUGAGCAAUGUGUGCUGCUCCAUGGAGCCCCUCCUCCCCUCGGCCCUACAAGGGUGUUAUUAGCCCACACUCUGCAGAGGUGAGGAACCCAGAGCCAGAAAAACCUAAGGCCAAGGCUUUGCCCACUCUCUGGGGGCCUUGCCUGGUAAGUAUCUGGAAUUGUGAGGUGCAGGGGUGGGGGGGGGGUGUUACUGCCUGUCCCUUCCUCCUUAUCCAGGCACCAAGAAGCCCAGGAGAAAACUGGCCACUUGGGGCUAGAAUCUCAGCCCUGCCCCUCCAUCCAGGUCACCCUCAUUCAUGUACCCACUCCUCAGGGUCUGAGGACCCACCCAGGGGCAAUCAAGACCCAAAGGGGAUCCCCCCUGGCCUCGGUUUUCCCAUCUGUGAAAUGGGACCAGCCUAGCCCACUUCACGGGAGGGAGUUAAAAGCACUGAACCCGAGGGCAGGCCCAGGGCAGGUCAAGCCCUCAGAAGGCGCUCCAGGAGGGCGGGGCCAACUGGCAUUUACUCACCAGCCCCAGGCACAGAGCCUGGCACACGGGAGGCGCCCCAUAAAUGCUUGUUUGAGAAAGGACCAAACCUCAAUAAAUAA